AUUGCUUCUCGGCCUUUUGGCUAAGAUCAAGUGUAGUAUCUGUUCUUAUCAGUUUAAUAUCUGAUAUAUCCUCUAUCCUAGAACAGCAUAUUAAAUGGAUUUUUGGAAUUAGGAGUUGGAAUGGGAGCUUGCUCCAUCCACGCCAUGUAUCAACCUGGUAUUGCAGAAAUUAAAAUGUCAAAAGGUUU
ensembl:snRNA LOC120094026 U2 spliceosomal RNA